rnacentral:rRNA from 1 species
GACGAACGCUGGCGGCGUGCCUAACACAUGCAAGUCGAACGAAGCUGCUGAGACUGAUUUCUUCGGAAUGACGAUUCAGCAGACUUAGUGGCGGACGGGUGAGUAACACGUGGGAAUAUACCUAUUGGUGGGGGACAACAAUUGGAAACGAUUGCUAAUACCGCAUAAGCCCUGAGGGGGAAAGAUUUAUUGCCGAUAGAUUAGCCCGCGGAAGAUUAGGUAGUUGGUGGGGUAACGGCCUACCAAGCCGACGAUCUAUAGCUGGUCUGAGAGGACGAUCAGCCACAUUGGAACUGAGACACGGUCCAG